rnacentral:rRNA from 2 species
GGACUACUGGGGUAUCUAAUCCUGUUUGCUCCCCACGCUUUCGUGCCUCAGCGUCAGUUACAGUUUAGUGAGCUGCCUUCGCAAUCGGUGUUCUGUGUCAUAUCUAAGCAUUUCACCGCUACAUGACACAUUCCGCCCACCUCAAAUGUACUCAAGACCAUCAGUAUCAAUGGCAGUUCCCAAGUUAAGCUUGGGGCUUUCACCACUGACUUAAUAGCCCGCCUACGCACCCUUUAAACCCAAUAAAUCCGGAUAACGCUUGGGACCUUCGUAUUACCGCGGCUGCUGGCAC